GCCUGGAUAGUUCAGUUGGUUAGAGCAUGGUGCUGCUAAUGCCAAGGUUGCAGGUUUGAUUCGCAUAUGUUCCUACAUUGCAGGGG